CUUUUUGUCGUUAAUAAAGAGCUAUGGAUGCUAAAACAAACCCUGAAGCUGCUUUUUUGUCGAACACGAGUGAGACUGGAUGCGGAACACACGUGGCGUGAAGGUUUACUCAUUCAGCUGCUGCAGCCUGGACAGAAACACCAGCUCUCACCUCACAAACCAAACAGGUAUCACUACUUUGUCCAUGAUCACAGGGUGUCUUUGCACAAAGAAGCUCUUGGAGACCAGGACUGAGGCCUCCAGGAUUCACACUUCAGCCAUUAAAUCACAGAGAUGAGAGAUGUGAAGACAUUAGUAGAAGGUCUGCAGCUGCUGUCGUCUUCUGCAGAGACAAGAACACAUGUUAAUCACAGUAAUGGAUCAAUAGAUCUAUUUGUCAAUUUAAACUGUUUUGCUGCACAGUACUUAAGGUAAAUGAAAAUUCAAUUUUUUGAUGCUCCUCUAUGCUAUGACAUUUCUUUCACAUUUUUUGAUGACACUUUUAAAUGAUAUUUAUGCCUGUUUUGAUGCUCUAUGACAUCUUUUGCCCAUUUUUUAUGUCUUACCAUACUAUGACAUUUGUUAACUGUUUUUGAUGCCUUACUAUAUUAUGGUAUGCGGCUAAAGACAAAGAAACUAU